UGAAUUGUAUUAAAUGCGUCAUUCGCUCUCUCAAAAAGUCACAUAAAAAAAAAUAAUAAUAAUAAUUGACCGCGUAGUUUUUGAGUUAUGGCCAUAGCAACACCAUAGCAACGAGGGACGCGCCGUCCUGCCGACCCCUACCUCGUGACGUAACUUCCAGGAAGCCUCGCCACCACUCUGAACACGGAAAUAUAGCACCACGCUAUCCUCGCCAUAUAUUGCAAACAUUUUCUGGGUUUUACUCGCGGGAUUCGUCAUGCCAUCUCGAUGUGUAGCGAUAUGAAUUACUCACAGGAAGACUCGAGACUCUAGGAGUGGUCCAAAAAAAAACUUCUCCUGCAAAGCCACGACAGCUUUGAAAACCUACAACAAUGCAACCUUGGUUUUCCAAAGACGAAGCCAAACAUAAAAAAUUAAGUGGCGGAAACCCUCAACACGAUGAAAAAAGCGUUGCAAGUCAGUUGCCACCCAGUUUCCCAAAAUCAAGUGAGAGUGGUCAUAUGAUG